AAGUCGUAACAAGGUUUCCGUAGGUGAACCUGCGGAAGGAUCAUUAACACGUAUCCAAACGUUUAAAAAAAAAAGAAAACCCCCCUGUGAACAUUUGCUUGCUCUUGCAGCCCGCCUGGCUAGAAAAUCCCUGGUAAAUCAUCGCUGAACUAGUUUGAUUCAGGGACCGUCUGGUUGGGUGAGAGCCAUAGCUGCAAUCGAGAGAUCGUGGCAUAACCAAGCCUGCUCCGUGCGUACGUGAAAGUGGUAUUGGGGUGUAUGUACUGGAGAAACCCUUCUGGAUGGACGGCCACCACGGGCUUGUGGGCGUUCGUGCCCCCCAGGAUUACCCCGCUACCAGUCGAAACGACCAACCUGCGCAUUACGUGUUGAGCCCGUGGGCGUCGUAAACCGAAAUACUUGAACACUGUUAACAAUGGAUAUCUUGGUUCUC
rnacentral:misc_RNA from 1 species